rnacentral:rRNA from 1 species
AUGGCAGAAUCGGACCACAGCAUUCACGUGCUCCUCGUCUCGUACCCAGCCCAGGGCCACAUCAAUCCGCUCCUCCAGCUAGCGAAGCGGCUCGCCGGCCACCGGGGCAUCCGCUGCACCCUCGCCGUGACCCGGUCCGUUCUCGGCAACUCCGGCGGACCAUCUCAGGCCGGCGCUACCUUCCUGGCACGGCUCGAGUCCGUCGGGUCGUCCACGCUGGACGAGCUCCUCCGCUCCGAGGCGGAGCAGGGCCGGCCGGUGCACGCGGUCGUGUACGACGCGUUCUUGCUCUGGGCGCCGCGCGUGGCUCGGCGGCACGGCGCCAAGUGCGCGGCCUUCUUCACGCAGGCGUGCGCGGUGAACGUGGUGUACGCCCACGCGUGGGCAGGCCUCGUGAAACUCCCCGUCGACAAGGAGAACGCGCCGGCGAAGCUGCCAGGCCUGCCCACGCCGCUGUCGCCGGCCGACUUCCCUUCCUUCCUCACGGAUCCGGGCAGCAGCCCCGCUUACCUGCACCUGCUCCUACAGCAGUGCGAGGGGCUCGAGGAAGCAGAGUAUUUGGCGUCCAGGUGGGGGGCCAAGGCGGUCGGCCCCAGCAUCCCGUCGGCGUACCUCGACAGUCGCAUGGCCGACGACACGUCCUACGGCUUCCACCUCCACGCUCCGAUGGCGGCGGAGAGCAAGGCCUGGCUGGACGACAGACCGGCGCGCUCCGUGGUGUACGUCUCCUUCGGCAGCCUCGCCACGCCCGACCGUGCGCAGGUGGCCCAGGUCGCCGAGGGGCUGUACACCAGCGGCCACCCCUUCCUGUGGGUAGUCAGGGCGUCCGAGACCUGGAAGCUGCCCGAGGGCUUCGUCGACAAGGUCAAGUCCAAGGGGCGAGGCCUCUUCGUGACAUGGAGCCCGCAGCUGGAGGUGCUCGCGCACCCGGCCGUCGGCUGCUUCGUCACGCACUGCGGUUGGAACUCCACGGUAGAGGCCCUCAGCAUCGGUGUGCCCAUGGUCGCCGUGCCGCAGUGGUCGGACCAGCCGACCAACGCCAAAUACGUCCAGGACGUCUGGCACGUGGGCGUGCACGUGAAAGGGGCGGUGACCAAGGAGGAGCUGGCGAGGUGCGUCAAAGAGGUCAUGGACGAUACCAAGGGCUACAAGACCAAUGCUGCAAGCUGGAGCCACACGGCGAAGAAGGCCAUGAGUGAAGAUGGCAGCUCGGACCGCAACAUCGCCGACUUCCUUUCCAAACUUGGACGACUUCCUAGUAUUUGUGUUUUCUUCUUUUGUACUAUGCCAUAUCAUGCAUUUUGUGCCUUUCUGCCUGGCUUGUCAUAUGUUUCUUAUUUUAUGUUAAUUAUAUCAUGGACACAGUUGUUGGGAUUCGAAGUGAAACAGCUUGCACUAUGA